rnacentral:rRNA from 1 species
CCUACGGGAGGCAGCAGUAGGGAAUCUUCCACAAUGGGCGCAAGCCUGAUGGAGCAACACCGCGUGAGUGAAGAAGGGUUUCGGCUCGUAAAGCUCUGUUGUUGGGGAAGAACGUGCGUGAGAGUAACUGUUCACGCAGUGACGGUAUCUAACCAGAAAGCCACGGCUAACUACGUGCCAGCAGCCGCGGUAAUACGUAGGUGGCAAGCGUUAUCCGGAUUUAUUGGGCGUAAAGCGAGCGCAGGCGGUUGCUUAGGUCUGGUGUGAAAUCCUUCGGCUUAACCGAAGGAGUGCAUCGGAGACCGGGCGACUAGAGUGCAGAAGAGGACAGUGGAACUCCAUGUGUAGCGGUGGAAUGCGUAGAUAUAUGGAAGAACACCAGUGGCGAAGGCAGCUGUCUGGGCUGCAACUGACGCUGAGGCUCGAAAGCAUGGGUAGCGAACAGGAUUAGAUACCCGGGUAGUC